rnacentral:rRNA from 1 species
AACGAACGCUGGCGGCAGGCCUAACACAUGCAAGUCGAACGAGAAGCCACCUUCGGGUGGUGGACAGUGGCAGACGGGUGAGUAACGCGUGGGAACGUGCCUUUCGGUUCGGGAUAACCCAGGGAAACUUGGGCUAAUACCGGAUACGCCCUCCGGGGGAAAGAUUCAUUGCCGAAAGAUCGGCCCGCGUCGGAUUAGCUAGUUGGUGGGGUAAAAGCCUACCAAGGCGACGAUCCGUAGCUGGUCUGAGAGGANGACCAGCCACACUGGGACUGAGACACGGCCCAGACUCCUACGGGAGGCAGCAGUGGGGAAUAUUGGACAAUGGGCGCAAGCCUGAUCCAGCCAUGCCGCGUGGGUGAAGAAGGCCCUAGGGUUGUAAACCCCUUUCA